GAGGCAGCAUCCUCGUGAGGUCACAAUGGCCAGGUGAGGGUCAGAAAAAACCAGAUCACAGCAGGUUGUGUGUGCAGAUGGUAGGUGCAAGUGUGGCCUGGCACCCCAAAUUCAAUGGCCAAGAAUUGAUGAGUCAGAAAUAAGGAACAAAGAACCUUUGAAGAAACAUGGUUCCAAGAAUUCCUGGCAGUCUCAACCCUAGUUGUAAAGAUUACAGUGAAGACCAUCUAGACAAAGUUACAAUGAUAUUUGUGUGUGGGAAAAGACUGGAGAAGAAAAAGUCUAGCAUAUAGGGGGGAGGGCAGAAAACCCUCUGAAGUAGAUAUUGGAAAAUGUGGAAAAUACAGCUGAUGAUGCGCAAAUUCAUAUGGAUCUGAAAAAAUAAACACUGACUUUUCAACAAAAAUCCGCUCUGCCUCAACCUCACCUUUUCUUUAAACUGCUAUUGCUGAUAGACCAGCCUUAGGGUAAGGUUGAGUUCACGCAAUCAGUUCUAAUGACAGCAAGCACUUGGUGGGUUUCUCCCAACUUGCCUGCCACUGUGAGGUUAUUGUCACAACUGAUAGGAGAGGUGAUCCUUGACAGCUAAUCUGUACUUGCUUAAACCAUCUUAUAGCUAUUCUUCUGCUUUACCUCUAUUUCUCUUGCAAGGGUGUGAACCGAUAUGGGUUUGAUAUUUGGAUGCUAAGGGACCUUACUAUGCAUCGAUCUGGUAUUGCACAACCUCCAGGAAUGGUGGAAAAGGGAAGAAGUACAGCUUUGGGCCUCUGCCCAGCUGGAAUCUUUCAACAUGGUCACCCAGUGAGACCCUGGAUAGUUGACUUGCACCAUGCCAGGACUCAACUCUGGGGGAUUCCCAUGGAAGGAGUUUGGGCACGUCCCAAUCAUGACAGAGUGUCAUUCCAACAGCAAGGGCUGAGUGGAAUGAGGAACUGGAUCCUUGCCCUACUGCCAUGGCAACCCAACUUUCUGCUGUAGUUAAUCAAGUUUUGGCUUGGUUUUACCCAA